AGAGUUUGAUCCUGGCUCAGAAUCAACGCUGGCGGCGUGCCUAACACAUGCAAGUCGAACGAGAAAGUGGAGCAAUCCAUGAGUAAAGUGGCGCACGGGUGAGUAACACGUGACUAACCUACCCUUGAGUGGGGAAUAACCUAGAGAAAUCUGGGCUAAUACCGCAUAACACCUACGGGUCAAAGGAGCAAUUCGCUUAAGGAGGGGGUCGCGGCAGAUUAGCUAGUUGGCGGGGUAAUGGCCCACCAAGGCGGUGAUCUGUAUCCGGCCUGAGAGGGCGCACGGACACACUGGAACUGAAACACGGUCCAGACUCCUACGGGAGGCAGCAGUGGGGAAUUUUGCGCAAUGGGGGAAACCCUGACGCAGCAACGCCGCGUGGAGGAUGAAGUCCCUUGGGACGUAAACUCCUUUCGAUCGGGACGAUUAUGACGGUACCGAGAGAAGAAGCCCCGGCUAACUUCGUGCCAGCAGCCGCGGUAAUACGAGGGGGGCGAGCGUUGUUCGGAAUUAUUGGGCGUAAAGGGUGCGUAGGCGGUUCGGUAGUCUUAUGUGAAAUCUUCGGGCUCAACUCGAAGUCUGCAUGAGAAACUGCCGGGCUUGAGUGUGGGAGAGGUGAGUGGAAUUUCCGGUGUAGCGGUGAAAUGCGUAGAUAUCGGAAGGAACACCUGUGGCGAAAGCGGCUCACUGGACCACAACUGACGCUGAUGCACGAAAGCUAGGGGAGCAAACAGGAUUAGAUACCCCCGUAGUCC
rnacentral:rRNA from 1 species